AUGCAAUGAUGAGCAUUUUAUCCCGAAACUGAAAGUUUUGAUGAGACAUCCUUACGGAUCUGACUCCUGAGCU